rnacentral:rRNA from 1 species
CUAUGCGCCUUGCCAGCCCGCUCAGGUGUGCCAGCAGCCGCGGUAAUACAGAGGUCUCAGGCGUUGUUCGGAAUCACUGGGCGUAAAGCGUGCGUAGGCGGUUUCGUAAGUCGUGUGUGAAAGGCGGGGCUCAACCCCCGGACUGCACAUGAUACUGCGAGACUAGAGUAAUGGAGGGGGAACCGGAAUUCUCGGUGUAGUAGUGAAAUGCGUAGAUAUCGAGAGGAACACUCGUGGCGAAGGCGGGUUCCUGGACAUUAACUGACGCUGAGGCACGAAGGCCAGGGGAGCGAAAGGG